GGUUGAUAACCAGCAAUUCCUUAUGAUCAAUAUCAUAAGUGACAGUAUGUUCCAGCACACAAACAUAUGAUCAGAUAUUCUAACACACGGAUCUGACCCCAAUAUGCCCUCAGGUGCAAUUUCGACCCCAAGCAAACCUGCUCCAAAAAUCAAUUAAAAUUCAUGAAAAUUCAUGAUAAAUCAUAACUAAGAGAAUGGUCCAAUCAGAUUUCCUAGAACCGGCCUCCAUCCCAUAGAUCGCGGCCAAGAUCAGCCAAACCGGCCCAAGGGACCAUCUCUAAAUC
rnacentral:lncRNA from 1 species